ensembl:lncRNA
ACCACACAGUCUCUCUGCUGGGCUGGGAACAGCCGGCUUCAACCUGCUGCCUUGUUUACUAAAUGGAAUCAGCAGAUAAUUUCACGGUGGUAUAGACAGCAUGAAAAUCCCACUCAAGAUUCAUAAAUCCUGCUUUAAAUUCGGCCAGCUUGUAUACAAGCUGCCCUCUCAGCUCUUUCCAGUUGGAAGCUGCAGUCACACCAAGAAUGGAAGAUGGAGUUAGAGACAGAGAAGUACAUGCCUAGUCUGACUACCUAGUCCCAGGGAAGGAUGCAGAGACAGAGGUGAUUUGGGCCAGGAAGGGGUGAUAAAGGAAGAAAGAAAGUUUGAAAGGAUGGAAGAGGGAAGGAAAGAGGAAGAGAUAACAGGAAGCAAUGAGAUUAACAAGCUAAACAGAGAAGGAUAACACUCAAGAAGCUGCCUAUAUGUAAGAGAUUCCUUUGAGAACUUUCAAAUGGCUCCUUCCUACAAAAAACCUGGGAAUACUUAACCUCCCACCACCAGCACACUCAAAGCUCAAGGCAAAUGCAUUUUCAAGAUUGACAGGGUCUUGGACUCUGAAAGUCUUUGGUGAGUACUGCACUGCAAGUCUUCAUAUUCUACCGAAUGAGUAAUUACCCUAUUUUCUGAAAAAUAUUUCAAAAGACGACCUUUUUCUCAUGAUUCCACUACAACCACCUACCCUCCUUCUUUAUUGGCUCUCCUAAUAAUUCUUCCAACCCAGCAGUAAUGCACCGUGGAGUCAGGUGAAUGGUAUCAGUAACUUCCUUCCUUCUAUAUCUUUGGCACUAUCUAAUGUGCCGUUUCUUUCCUGAACCCAUCCACCAAUAAGCCCAAAUAAGUCUCAACUUUCAUCUCUCUCGAAACCACAGGCUGAUUUAACUGCUAUUCUAGAUUUUAUUUUUAACAAAAGGAAUUAAAGUGCAGAGAUAAUUGCUUCCAGAAAUACUAGCCACUAGUUAUACUGUCUCUGGUUUACCAGAAGGAGACACUUACAUAUGCAAAUACACACCCCAAACUGAGUUCUGAAAAGCUGGGGUGCAGCUUUUCUCAUUUCACUCAUUUCGCUGGGGGUGCAAUGAGUUCCUUCAUGUGUUUUUAGUAAGAUUGACUGGUGUACUCAAAGUUCUUUCAAUACUUACUCUAUAAAGCAAUUUGUUUAAAACUCAAGGAGAUUCAGGGAGUUGGUUGAGGACCACAAGACUUACAGGUCCAAUAUUAUUCAGUAUUUUAAAUUACACAAAUGACUGCUGCUUUUAAUCUCUGGGUCAGCUGUGACUUAGUUGAAGAGAAUCCAUUUUUGGAUUCAUUUCCAGGAUGUUGGUAAUCUCUGUCUUGUUGAAUAUUUGUUUCUCCUUUUUUUCUGUUUAAUAUAUUUCUUGGUUUCUAGAGUGUUCUCUGAUGUCAGGUGUUCAUAGCAGAGAGAUCCCAAUUAUUUGGCUUCAAUGUACCAUCAAGAGAGUCCUGUCAACUCUCAUUAAAUCCUUCAGUCUUAUAUUUUAGUCAAUAUAUUGAGCCUCCCCUGGAUGGUAUCCUUGUUAUAGAUUUUAAUCAUCUUGAUUAGAUGAUUCUUCUGUUACAAAGUUCUAUAUGGGUUAGUACAAUCACACAGUAAUAAUAAGUCUUACAAAUUUGCAUGACAUUUCCUAGGUUUUUAAGUUCUUUAACAUACAUCAGGCAUUUGUUCCAUCAACACAACCAUUUGAGGUAGAGCAGUUGAUACUUUUCUUCAAGUAAGUAGCCAAAAGAUCAGAAAAAUAAAGGAACUUGCUCUAGAACCCAUGGAUAAUAAGUGACAUUUAAAAUGUAACCUCCAGAGCUUACAUAUGAGACUUGAGUAUAGUAAAUGAAAAUGAUAUAUCGUAUGUAAAAAUAAACAAAGUUGGUUUAAGAAUAUAUUCACCAAUACCUCAUGAGUGAAGCUGGUAUGACUAGCAGUACUUAAACUAGUACUGCUAGAAGGAGAGACGAAGAAAUAUCGCAUGAAAAAAGCCGACCUUGGGGAUUUAAAAAAUUCCAAAAAAAAAAAAAAAAAA